CGGAAUCGCUGCUUGUCCCAUGAAACUCCAGUACCAACUGAAAAAUCUCAGCUGGAUGCCACACAAACCAUGAUAGAAUCUCAGUACAGGCCUCGUGUCACAGAGUCAAAAUUGCAGAAGAUCUCCAUAAAAUAUCCUUUGUUGUAUACUCAGUCAUCUUGGCCUCCGAAAACUACAAAGGGAGAGCACUGAAGCCAUUUUUUAAGCAAAUAAAAUAAGUGGUAUGUAAACAAAUAAAGUUUGCUCUCAUUUUUAGUUCUUGGAGAUGGAGAUGAAUAAGAACCUAAUUGUUUUAUUUAGAGUAAAACGUCUGAAUUUUAUUGAAUAUUUGAAUAUUAAAACACGUAUAUUUAGAUUAUAACAUGUAAAUUUGAAUACAUAUCUGAAUAUUAAAAUGUUGUAUUAGGAUUUGAAUACCAUAUAAUUACGGUUAUUUGUUUCCUCAACAUCUUAAUGUAUAGAACCUAUCUUUAUUUAUAAAUUAAUAAAUAUGAAACUCAAAUAAGAUACUAUAUCAACAAAAUAUUCUUCAAAAAAAUUAUAUGGUGGGUGGUGGUGUUAUGGCUAAUGGUGGUGGUUGUGUGUGUCGACAGAGGGUGGUGUUCGCUAAUGGUGAUGGUUGUGGGUGGUGGCUAACAAUGCUGUUUAGUAGUGGUGGUUGAUGGUGGUGGAGGCUUAUAAUCACGGUGGAUGAUAACGACAACUAAUUGUGGCAGUACUAAUAGUGUGAUUGACAAUAUAUAAUGGUGAUGCUUGUUAAAAGUGUUUGAUGACUGUUGUGGUAAUGGUGAUUGGUGGUGAUGACUGACUGUGGUGAUUGCCGGUGGUGGUGGUCGUUGAUGAUGGUGGUGGUUAGAUGUGAAAGUGGAUGGACUAGUGGUGAAUUGUCAUUAAUCGUAUUGAGACUUUGUUAUUCUAAUUCAUUCAGUGGUUGUAAUUGUUUUAAAAAAAUUAACUGCACUUGAUGACUGAGAUUUUGAAUCAUAAAGAUGCGACUUGGUUGACAACAAGAUCUCUCUUCAUGGUCGCACUUUGAAUUUAACGAUUGAUAUUCUUGUGCUCCUUGACAUACCUUAGCUGUGGGCAUGGUGUCACCCCUUUGUUUCAAAAAUCGUUGACUGCCACUGAUGCUGAUCUCACAUUAUCACGUCUUGUGAUUCCCAAAAAGUGUGCU
rnacentral:lncRNA from 1 species